ensembl:lncRNA
AGUUCCAGAGGGCCCAACGCCCUCACAGAUACACAUGGAGGCAAAACACCAAUGAACAUAGAAAAUAAGAAAACAAUUUAUUGCAGGCACUGAGUUUGGGAAAAGCCACUCUCUUCAGGCCACUCCAUUGUUGCUGCAGAGAAAUUCAAAGCCUUAUACUAUCGCCAAUGACAGGCUGGUAACCUCUUGCUUAAGGACAAAAUCCAGCUGUGGAACUUCUACAGUGUCUGAAAAGGAAGGCUGGCCUUGAGUCCACUGAGCAAACAUAGCAAAGGCAAAGAUGAGGGAUCUGUAGCUAGCACUCCUGCCCAUCCACAAAGCACAGUUACCAGGAUCUACAGUAUGUCAUCACUGUCUCAUCUGAGGGCAAGUCAGAGCUCCAAGCUGUACCACAUGCUCCUAGGCAGGGGGUCCAUGCACUCAGUCACUAUUGCAGUUGACAAGAGCUUAGCAUCUGGACUGGUUUCCAUCAUUACUUCCCAGGCAGAGGCAGAGACCAGUCAGUGAAACUUGAGUUUUGUUUAGUGAUUGGCAUGGAGGUACAGUGGGAUGUUGUCUAGAACAUGGCCUGGAGUCCAUGCAGUUCAAUCUCCUGUCUCCUCCAGAUACAGAAGUUCCUCUGUAGGAUGGCAGAGAGAGCUGUCCAGUCAAGAUCUGCAUUCUACCAGAGCAUUCUCCGUUUCCCACUGCAGGAUCUCUCAACAGUCUUUAGCUUGGGAGUUCCGAAAAGACCAUGGAUCCAGCUGAGCAGUGGGAGAGGGAUCGAGAGAAAAAUAAUAAAUUAAAUCAAAGGCUGAGAGACAUCAUGGUAGUAUAGGUGGAGUCAUUCAUUCCCAAGUUUUGUCCAAGUCUUGGGCUUGAUCAAAAAACUAUGUGGGUGAGGGAGCUCAAAAGGCUGUGUUGUCAGUGUCUCUCAUUUAACCAGCAGGGUCCUCAGGCCUGAGGCUGUAGGGAGGAGGUGGUUCUACAGGCUUCAUGAUGACCUGCAGGGGAGAAAGGGUACUUAGCUUGCUUCAGGCCUGCCUAAGGAAUGAUGAAGUUGGUUGGCAGCUCUCCCCUGUCUGUGACUUCAACAAGUUGGAUAGCCAGCUGUGAAACAAGCUAAGGAUUGGGACAGAAAGACUCACCUGAUCAUAGGGUGGUGGGGGAUCCAAGGUGGGGACCCAGAUCUCUAGGGGAGCCGUGGUCGGUGCUUCUGGAGGUGUCUGAUGAUGGCUUCUGGGGUUCUGAUCUGGCUGUCUGCACUUGCGACAGAAGUGCUUCAUCUGGCCACAGAUGCAGAACAGAGGUAUCAUGGCCAGAAAGACGAUAAACAGGAUCCUGGGGAGGGAAUGAUUUCUCCCUGAGUGACUAUACCACUCUCCUCCAUCACCCACCCCCAUCCUAUUUCAGGUGGCCCCAGCCUUGAAUGGUACCCAGAAGGCCUGACCAUGGCUUACCUUAAGGAGUCGUUUGAAGAAUCCCAAAUGGUUUCCUUCUGCAGGCAGCAUCCACUCUCACAGCAUCUGAAUCCUUUUGUGGGGGUUCUGGUCAAGUCAGACAGACAUGGGGAGACACAGAUGGCAUCAAAAGUGUCAGAACAAAGGGUCCAUGCCUCCCCAGACACCUAUACCCUCAAGCUGCAAGUCAUACAUCGUGGGUUUGGGAUACAGAUGCAUCCUGGAUUCACUGGGAAAAACUGAGGCCUUGUUUGAGACCUGAGUUCAGGGUUACUCAAGAAGAAUGACCAUGCUACUAUAUUUUACAGGGCAGGUGUGGGGCUCCAGGUCAUAAAGGAACAGGAUUAACAGCAACUACAAACCUGCCCCAAUCAUGCAGUUUCCAAUGUUGGGUGGAGGGAAAGGAUGGUAUGGUUUCAGCAAAACUAGGAAGAGUUAGGAGGAGGUAUCUGUGUCCUUAUCCAGGGCAUAUCUGAGCAAACCAUCACCCACCACCACGACCUCCACCUACCCCCACCAAACCCCAAGCCUUGAUUGACUAGAGUUAAGUCCCAUACUUACAUGAUGUCACAUUUAACUGUAACUUGUGGAAGAAAAACAGGCAGAGGUCAGAGCUUAAAAACUGGGAGUUGGGUCUCAGUUCGUAGAGUGCUUGCCCAGCAUACUAGGUGUUGGGGUCAAUUUCCAGGAUUAUAUAUGGCAAUAUAUCUGGUGUGGAUAAACCAGAAUAGCAGUACAUGCCCACAGUCCCAGAACUCAAGAAGACACUAGAAUCAUUCAAGGCUACAUAGCCAAUUUGAGGCCCGAUUGGAUACCAGAAUAAGAACCUUUCUCAAAAAGAAAAACCAGAGGCUAGUCUCAGACAUCUCGGGUAGUGAAUAUUAGACUGACUCUGCCUCCUUCCAGCUCCAAGUCCAGGUUCAAUGAUUAGAGCCUGCCCAUGACCCCUGUGUUUGGAUUGAAGGCAUGCACUACCAUGUUUCACUCCCUCACUGCUUCUUAUUGAGACAGGCAGGGUCUCACUAGGUAGCCCUGGCUAGCCUGGAAUUCAGAGAUCUACCUGACUCCACCUCCAGACUGCUGGAUUAAAGGUGUGGAACACUAUUACCUGGCUCCCAGAUAAUUCCCCCUGUCACACCCAAACAGUUGUUGAUGGGCACAGGAAGCCACCUGGAGUGGAUCCCUGCUUCUAACACCUCCAAAAAGCAACCUAAGUCCCUCCCCCUCGGCUCUCCAUGUCCCAGGUAGAGGCAUCUCUAGCAGUUUCCUGAACACUCUUGUCCCAUUCAUCCUCAGGUCCUGCUGGGAAUCCAGGGCCUCUAUCAGAAUUCCAUCUUGUCUAAGCUCUUAAUAGGGACUCUCUUCUACAUGUCCUCAAGGCAUCUCUCUCUGGCCACCUCACUUAAAGUGACAACCAUUGCCUGCUGUGGUGGUCCUUGCCUUUCAUCCCAGCUUACCUGAGGCAGAGGCAGGUGGAUCUGUUAGCUUGAAACCAGCUUGGCUUACUCACAAUGUCUAGAGGAAUCAGGACUAGACCCUGUCUCAACAGAUAGAGGAUGGGAAGCCAGCAUUUGUCUUUGCUACUCAAUACCAUUGCAUUUGCUGAGCAAACACAAGGGAACCAGUGAUGGGCACAGGCUCCCAGCAGCACUGUUUUUAAGUGAGGACAGGUGUAGAAAGAAAUUAAAGACACAGCAAAGGACCCAGGACCUCAGUCACAUCCCUUACUCUUACAAAUCUCAGACGGUGCCCACUCCCCACUCUCCUGGUUUCUCUGUGUAGCCUCAGGUACUGGAACUUGCUCUGUAGAGCAGACUGGCCUCAAACUCAGAUCUGCCUGUCUCUGUGUCCUGAGUGCUAGGAUCAAUGGUAUGAGCGGCUGUCACCACCACCCUGCUCUAGUAUUACAUUGAAGCCUUGGUAACAAUGGUCACACUUCCUCUCUUAAAUUCAAGCUCCUUUUUAAUGCCAGGGCUGAGGUAGUAAAGACAGAUGUCUGUUGAGUUCAAGAUCAUUCUUAUCUGUAUAAUGAUAUGUUAUGUAAAAGAUUUUAUGGCAGGGUUAAUAUCCUGAAACAGCAUUAAUUCUGUUUCCAUCUUAUCCAGGUGAUCGGAUUUGGGAUGGUUAGGAGCCUCAGUAUUAGAAAGCAGAGUGAGGUAUUAAGCUGGAUUCAUUAGCUCUUUCGGGGAGACUGACAAUGCCUAUACCUGGGUUGCACAGAGGGGUCAACAGAGGAUGCUGGGAUCCAAGAGUGCCUUAAACCUGGGUUCAUGCUUGGCCUUAUCCAGAGAACUUCAAUUACAGUGAACUUCAACAGCCAGUGAACUGUCCUGAAGUUCAAGCUUGGUUCAUCACCCCCCACUGCAUAACAGAUUCUCAACCAAGAUUGUAAAUGUAAAGGCUUGUUCUGACCACCUCUCUGUUUGCAGGAUAAUCUGCCAACCCAAGACACUUAAGAGUUAUAUAGGAGGAACAAGAGCUUGGGGCAGUGCUCACAACCUUGACUUCCUGAUCCAUGCAAUUCAGAUGCCAAGCAGCCCAGGGCAAGGCAGCCAAGUCUAACCGGAGGAAAGCUGCAACUAAUCAAAGAAGUCCAGAGAGCCUCCUUCUCCCUAGUACGCUUGAAGAAUUUCCAUAGAGGGUCCAUAUACUACAAGGUCACAGCCAUGGGGUACAGGGAUGUACAGAUGCCUCGCCCAGACAUGGAGACCUCAGAUUCCUCAGCCUUAUAUUGUAGAAGCUAAGUUAGAAACACUACAAAAACAGGGAUCAAAGUUCCCAUUCAGUUCUGUCCGGUGGAGCCAGAUCCCACUAACAACACAACCUGGCCAAGACUAGGGGCCCAGAUUUCUACAGAGCUCCCUUCAAGGUCCCUACCCCCAUUUUCCCCAAGCAAAAGAGAAAGAAAGUUGGGAAUUGCCAUUGGUUACAAGGAAUUCCUGACAAGGUAAGGCAGGGACUGUCUCCAAGGCAAACCUCUGUCUCACAGGGUCCUCCAAAAGGUUCAGAAGUCUUGCUUACCUGGUUGGCAAUUACUAGUUGGAGACUAAAAGAGCAGGCAGGAAAGCAGGCAGAAGUGCAAGGUGAGCACUCCGUCUGGGAUCCUGGCAUCAGGCAUCAUGGCGAGGGGCCUACUAAGUUUCCGUGUGCAAGGAAGGAGCGACAGGGCACGACUUUUACAACUUCCCUCACCUAUGGGUCCCAGCCUCAGAAUAUGGGCAGAGUUAACACACCUGAGAUGGGCCUGACUAAGGCUUCUAGCCUGGAGCUCAGGUAGACUAGAAGUGGAGAGGAGCUGAACUUGCUUGAGUCUGAGGCAUUGAGAGGUGGGAUGCGUUGGUUUAAGUAGUAAGCAGGAUGAAGCAGAGCACUAUGGGAAUCCCUGGUCUGAGCAGCAUUUAAGUAGUUAGAGUAGGGUGUGGUGACACCAACCUUUAAUCCCAUCACUCAGGACGUAGAUGCAGGAGGAUCUUUGUGAGUUCAAGGCCAUCUGGUUUAAACAGUGAGUUCCAGGACACCCACUGCUACAGAGAAACCAUGUUUCAAAAAUCCUUAGAAAAAAAGAAAAAGAACAAAGAGGGAGAUGGUGGCAAUGGGGGUGGGGGGACAGAGAUGACUCACAGGUUAAGAGUACCUGUCCUUGGAUCUGGGUUGGGUUUCCAGCAUCUACACAUAUGAUGGCUCUCAAGCAGGAGAGGACAGCCACAUCAGAACUCAGCGGGCACUAGAUAUGCACAUGGUUCACAUAUAUAUAUGCAAUAAAAUACAUACAGAAAAUCUAAUUACUAAUUUUGUUGUUGUUUUGUUUUGUUUUGUUUUUUGAGACAGAGUUUCUCUGUAGGUUGGAGACUGUUGUGGAACUCUCUUUGAAGAACAAGCUGGCCUGGAACUCACAGUGAUCUGCUUGCUUUGCUUCCAGGGUGUGUGAGAUUAAAGGGUCCUCCAAAAUGUUCAGAAGUUUGCGUACCUGGUUGGCGAUUACUGGUUGGAGACUGGAGAGCAGGCAGGAAAGCAGGCAGAAGAGCAAGACAGAGUUUCUCUGUAGGUUGGAGACUGUUCUGGAACUCUCUUUGAAGAACAAGCUGGCCUGGAACUCACAGUGAACUGCCUGCCUCAACUUCCAGAGUGUGUGAGAUUAAAGGUGUGUGCCACCACCAACAACAACAACACCUGGCUAAAUUGCUUUCUUUAAAAGAUCACUAGCUCAGGGGCUGGUCACCCACAAUGGUCUGAACCCUCUUCUCAUGGAUCACUAGUUAAGAAAUGCUCGUGGCUGGAAGAUGGCUCAGCGGUUAAGAGCACUGGUUGCUCUUCUAGAGGUCCUGAGUUCAAUUCCCAGCAACCACGUGAUGAAUCACAACCAUCUACAAUGAGAUCUGGAGCCCUCAACUGGCCUUUAAGCAGACAUUCAAGCAGAACACUGUACACAUAAUAAAUAAAUAAUAAAAAAAAUAGAAAGAAAUGUCCCACAUGCUUGCCCACAGGCAUAUGUUAGAGAAGUAUUUUCUCACAGGGCUCUCCCCUCUCUGACUCUAGCUUGUGUCAAGUUGACUUAACAAGGGACAGGCCACAGGAAAGGCUGCAGGGCUUAAUCAGACUGUCACUUGCUCUACCCAGAACAUCUCUAUAUGGAAUCAGAAGGUAUAUCCUAGCCUAGCAUGGUUCUGAACACCUAUACUCCCAGCACUCCAAGGCAAAGGCAUAUGGAACUCAGAGUUCAAGACCAGCCUGGUCUACAUAGCAGGUUCCAGGACAGACAGGGCAAUACAGGGAAACCCUGUCUCAAAAACAAAGAAGAAGAGGGGGAGGGAAAAGGAAUAAAGGAAGGAAGGAAGGAAAAAGGAA